rnacentral:rRNA from 1 species
CACCGCCCGUCACACCAUGAGAGCUGACUGUACCAGAAGUCGUUGGGCUAACCCGCAAGGGGAGCAGGCGCCUAAGGUAUGGUUGGUGAUUGGGGUG